GUCACAAAGCCCAGGGUAGAGAUUGUUGUGAAGGGAACAUGGUCACCAGAAUUAAAAUGCCACAAAAAAAGCACUGAAAAAAAGUAAUUGUUGACCUUGCUGAGGAGCAUUUCAAUGGAGUAGCUGUGGGAGAAAGCUCAUUACACAGUUCCCAGAAAAUUGGAGCAAGUGUGGAGGACGGGGGCAGUUAGAUUCAUCAUGAAAAAAGAUUUUGUUUUUUGGAUCCCUUUGCAAACAACAGAACAAGGACAUGGAGAAUGCUGGCAAGCAUGAUGGACAACAAAGAAAGAAGUGAAGAUGAAAGGGAAUGAAUAGCAGUCCUAUAAGGGGAGGGAGGAGAACCUGGACAAAAAAAAAAAGGAAGUUGCUGAGAAGUCCAGAGAAAUCCAGGAUUAUGGACUACAAAUCUGACCUAAGGUUUAGAAGCCUUCAGAAUCAAGGAACUAGAAAACGAAUUAUAAAUAGACUUGAAUUAGUCUGCAUUCUGUGGCAAACUUAUUUAUAUGUUUUCCAGAAGCUAUGAUCAGCAUCAACACUGAAAUGUCUCUGAAACCAAUUUUACUGUACUUACAUACCUGAGCAAAUAUUUUUAAAAGAUGUUGGCUUUGACUCAUAUUUUCAACAUGAUGGCUGAUUCCUGUGCUUCUCCUAUGCAUAUUCCUUUUUCAUCUCCACGGCUUUGAGGAAUUCUUGGACCAAGUUUCCCUGCCAUACAAAAACCAAACUCUUCCAAAGAGGAAACUUCCAUUCCACAAUAGCAGGCCUAACUCUAUUUUUGGAUUACACCUACAAAGCUCCCCACGUAACAAAUUCAUCAUUUUUUUCUACUGGGCAUUUUACCUUCCUAUAUGAAUUUCACAACUUGUAUUGAUUAAUGCUGAUUGUCCUGAUCACUGUUGCAAUUGUCACAUAACUUGCAAAGAGCCAGUUGGAGUGAUAAUUCGUAUAUCUUUUAAAGAAAAGGUUUUUAAAACUCUCAGUGCAAUACUCAAAUGGACUAAUCUUCUGUGGUAUCUUAAUGCUUCCUUCAAGUGGUGGUUUUCCAUGUAAUUGUUUUUGUCUAGAAUUUUUUUUCUAUUAGAUUAACUUCAUGGAAGCCAGGUUCCUGCUUCAAAACUCCAAGUGAACAACAAGUAUAGAUGAAGUUGUUUUACAUGCUAAUUAUUAGUGUUUGAGAGCAAUAUUUUAUAAAAUAGACCUCAUUACUCAAAAACAACUUGUACUACUAUCCUUUCCAAUUUAAUAAAAAAAUCAAAGAAU